rnacentral:tRNA from 1 species
GCAGUGGCAAUUCAGUGGUAGAAUUUUUGCCUUCCAUGUGGGAGACGUGGGUUUGAUUCCCACCCAGUGCC